UACGGGGGGAGCAAGCGUUGUUCGGAUUUACUGGGCGUAAAGGGCGCGUAGGCGGCCACUGCAAGUCGGUUGUGAAAUCUCCGGGCUUAACUCGGAAAGGUCAACCGAUACUGCAGGGCUAGAGUGCGGAAGGGGCAACUGGAAUUCUCGGUGUAGCGGUGAAAUGCGUAGAUAUCGUAAGGAAGACCGGUGGCGAAAGCUAGUCUCUGGACAGUCACUGACACUGAGGCACGAAGGCCAGGGGAGCAAACGGG
rnacentral:rRNA from 1 species